rnacentral:rRNA from 1 species
AGAGUUUGAUCAUGGCUCAGAACGAACGCUGGCGGCAUGCCUAACACAUGCAAGUCGAACGAGACCUUCGGGUCUAGUGGCGCACGGGUGCGUAACGCGUGGGAAUCUGCCCUUGGGUCUGGAAUAACAGUUAGAAAUGACUGCUAAUACCGGAUGAUGACUUCGGUCCAAAGAUUUAUCGCCCAGGGAUGAGCCCGCGUCGGAUUAGCUAGUUGGUGAGGUAAAAGCUCACCAAGGCGACGAUCCGUAGCUGGUCUGAGAGGAUGAUCAGCCACACUGGGACUGAGACACGGCCCAGACUCCUACGGGAGGCAGCAGUGGGGAAUAUUGGACAAUGGGCGAAAGCCUGAUCCAGCAAUGCCGCGUGAGUGAUGAAGGCCCUAGGGUUGUAAAGCUCUUUUACCCGGGAUGAUAAUGACAGUACCGGGAGAAUAAGCCCCGGCUAACUCCGUGCCAGCAGCCGCGGUA